AAAGCCCCGAAAGGGGUAAGUAGAGUGGCAAACGGGUGAGUAACACGUGGGUGACCUGCCUUCGAGUGGGGGAUAACGUCCCGAAAGGGACGCUAAUACCGCAUAACAUGCCGCCUUUGAAGAGGUGGACAUCAAAGCUGGGGAUCGCAAGACCUAGCACUGGAAGAGGGGCCCGCGUCCGAUUAGCUAGUUGGUGGGGUAACGGCUCACCAAGGCAACGAUCGGUAGCCGGCCUGAGAGGGCGGACGGCCACACUGGGACUGAGACACGGCCCAGACUCCUACGGGAGGCAGCAGUGGGGAAUUGUUCGCAAUGGGCGCAAGCCUGACGACGCAACGCCGCGUGGAGGAUGAAGAUCUUCGGGUCGUAAACUCCUUUCGAUCGAGACGAAUUCCUCCGGGGUGAACAAUCCCGGAGGUUGACGGUACCGAGAGAAGAAGCCCCGGCUAACUCCGUGCCAGCAGCCGCGGUAAUACGGGGGGGGCAAGCGUUGUUCGGAAUUACUGGGCGUAAAGGGCUCGUAGGCGGCCAACUAAGUCGGACGUGAAAUCCCUCGGCUUAACCGGGGAACUGCGUCCGAUACUGGAUGGCUUGAGUUCGGGAGAGGGAUGCGGAAUUCCAGGUGUAGCGGUGAAAUGCGUAGAUAUCUGGAGGAACACCGGUGGCGAAGGCGGCAUCCUGGACCGACACUGACGCUGAGGAGCGAAAGCCAGGGGAGCAAACGGGAUUAGAUACCCCGGUAGUCCUGGCCCUAAACGAUGAAUGCUUGGUGUGGCGGGUAUCGAUCCCUGCCGUGCCGAAGCUAACGCAUUAAGCA
rnacentral:rRNA from 1 species